GCAUGUCUAAAUCUACUUCCCUAAUAAAGUACUGCUUUAAAAACUCGGGCAGAACUGCACAAACUUUAAUGUAGAACGAAGUCAUCAAACAAUCUGUAGUCAAAUGCCUGCGCAGAAUUCUUUUCUGCCUCAAAGCCUGCAAUUCGAACAGUAGGUGACAGAAGAACCCUGGGACUCCCACACCUCCAGUCUCGGCUGUGCUCUCCGAGAGGACCCGCGGGUCCAGGCACGCACCCGGGGAGAGAAUUUUCUAUAGGUGAAACUUAUUGUGAAAAGAGUCAAGGGACGAGACAGAAAAAAAGAGAGAGAGAGAAAAAGAGACAAAGAUGACUGAGGUUUCAAGCCAGAGUGGCUGGAGUGACUACGAGAAUGGUCAGUGCCAUCUGCACAGCUAGAGAAGUUAAGAAGAGAAACAGGUUUGGUGGGAAGAUGAUUAAUUCCAUUUUGGACAUACUGAAUUUGUGAAUCCCACAGGACAGAAAUAUGGAAAUGUUCAAAGGUGUCCAGCAGCCAGCAGCCCUUUUUUCUGCUUAAGUGAAAAUUCUCUCCUGUAAAUCACAUCCAUUCCCAUGAUGUCAGUUGCCUCCAUCAGCACUGAAAGUCCCCAAAUUUCUUGAAAUCCAGCUUUUAUUGUCAGCUUUCUGCUAGAUAUCUCCAUUUGUUUACUCCACCAGCGUCUCCAAUUUAAGAUGUCAAAAUAAAGCUUAGUUUCUUCCAUAGUUCCUAUCAAGUCUGCCACUUCUCUACUGUUCCCUGCUUGGGAAGUAUCACCACCACAAACAGUCACCAAGAGAAUCACAGGAAGAGACCAUCUCUCUUCCUUUUCUGGAAAUUGUUGGGCCUGAAUGUGACAUCUAGAACUGUCACAACCUUCUUUCUUAUACCCUGAGGAUGGAGCCAACACUGAGGAUGGCAAAGCAGAGAAGAACCUGGAUCUCUGAUGACAUCGCUGAGGACUGUAUCAACCUAUUCUGAAGGAUCUAUUCCAGAACUUUCUGUUUUGGGAUGUUCCAACUGUCCUUAUUGUUGAAGCAACUUUUUGUUGCAGUUUUCUGUUACUUACAGCCAAGAGCAUCCUACUUUUUACACCUGCCCAUCAUUCAGGCCACCCUCCCAUAUCCACCAACAUCUUCUUUCUUGCCCAUCCUUAGGGCCAAAAGACACUGCUGCCACUUACCUUGGCAAAACUUGCAGCUCUUCUACUCAUGUUUCUCUUGCCAUCUCUUUAAAAAAAUGACAGAAAAUGUGUACCCAAACCUGCUGCCCUUAUAUGCAUAAAAAUUGUUCUGCCAUUGAAAGCUUAGCAUUACAAAUUCCUGUAUCUGUGUCUGGAAGGGGCUGUCACAAGACGUGGUAUCCAUCUAAGCAGGUAAUGAGGGGCUGAAAUAACUGAGCUCAGAUCACUCACCUUCUGUGCGUGGCUGAGCUUGUUCUUACAUGAACCUCAUUGGAACUAAAGAAAAACAAGAAACUGGACUGCUCAGAGAGCCAGGCCGAGACUGUUUAACCUGCAAUUCACUGAGGAGCUUGUAAAAAAGAACAGCUAAAAGAUAAAAGAACAGCUCAAGCUGACUUUAUGGAGGACUGAGAAGAGGAUGGGAGAAGGGAAAUGAGUAUUUUUAGAGCACUAAUGUGCCAGGACAGUCCCAGAAAUACAUAGACGAUUAAGUUAAAUGAUAAUAAAAUAAUAGUGGUAUGAUAGUUAA